UGCCGACAAUAAGUAUUAAACGUGCAGUAAACGCAAUAUCAGUUUUACUAAAUACUUCAAAAAUAAAGCUGUUAGGUCUAUGGUUGGCUUUCGCCGUAAUUUUUGUUAUGGCGAUCGUGCACACUAACGUGCAAGCAGAAGCAGUAGCAAAAGCCAAUGGCGAUACUGAUGCCAGUAAUCAUAUUCACUAAGUCCGGAAACAUCACAUAAGAUUUGAGAGACGAGGCAAAACACACCACAUUGUACAUGGUUGAGGAUAAAGACAAAGGAAAAACGGCGAUAUACAAAAAUUAUACGGAAGAAAAAUGAAUAAUAUACUGAGAUUAUCAAAAAUUUCAUUUUGAUUGCAUUUACUUGCGACAAUUAUGAUGAUGUUACUUAAACUAGCUUUCUAUUGAAGAAUAAAAUUCUGUGCAAGUGAAA